GUUGUAUGGUUAAGUGACUAAGCGUACACGGUGGAUGCCUUGGCAGUCAGAGGCGAUGAAAGACGUAGUAACUUGCGAUAAGCCCAGAUUAGGUAGUAACAACCAUUUGAGUCUGGGAUUUCUGAAUGGGGAAACCCACGUGCAUAAGCACGUAUCCUUACCUGAAUACAUAGGGUAAGGAGGCGAACCGGGGGAACUGAAACAUCUAAGUACCCCGAGGAAAAGAAAUCAACCGAGAUUCCGAAAGUAGCGGCGAGCGAAAUUGGACUAGCCCU
rnacentral:rRNA from 1 species